rnacentral:ncRNA from 2 species
UAAAAGAUGCGAAUAGACCUUCGUAUAUCCUUAGGAAUAUGGCCUAAGAGUCUCUACCGGAUUACCGUAAACAAUCUGACUAUGAAGGCAGAAUGUAUAUAA